GACGUAGGGCGCGAGCGUUGUCCGGAAUCAUUGGGCGUAAAGGGCGCGUAGGUGGCCCCUCAAGCGUGCGGUGAAAGUCAGGGGCUCAACCCCUGAUCGGCCGUGCGAACUGGGGAGCUUGAGCACUGUAGAGGCAGGCGGAAUUCCGGGUGUAGCGGUGGAAUGCGUAGAGAUCCGGAAGAACACCGGUGGCGAAGGCGGCCUGCUGGGCAGUUUUGCUGACACUGAGGCGCGACAGCGUGGGGAGCGAACAGG
rnacentral:rRNA from 1 species